rnacentral:rRNA from 1 species
AUGUGCUGGUCUCAACUUGCCGCCGUUUACGACUUUGACGAGCUACCCUGUUUGGUAUGUGGAAUUUUAUGCUGCUGUGGAUAUACAACCGACAGUCCAAUUUUCGCAUCUCAAUUCAGUCAGCUUGGUUGGCGGACGGUGCAUUUCGCUGUUGCUACCGGGAAAAUGACGAGGCCAAGGCAUCUGAUCCGAGUUGUGGUGAUCCUCCUAGCGACGUGGUCCCUCCUCUUCCUCCGGAGCUCGUCGGCCGCAGUCGUGCCUAAACUCCGACCACCGCCACCAGCAGCAGCGCCAGGAGGCACCCUCUGCAUCCCCCGCGAGCGGGACGCGCUUCUCGCCUUCAAGGCUGGCCUCACCGACCCGAGCAACUACCUUUUGUCAUGGCGGGGCGAGGUGGACUGCUGCCGGUGGACCGGCGUCGAGUGCAGCAACCGGACCGGCCAUGUCGUCAAGCUCCAGGUCAGAAGCCACACCAACUCGGAAGGUGAACUCGUGCCCGGAACUACCAUUGGAGGUGAGAUAAGCUCCUCCUUGCUCACUCUGCGUCAUCUCAAGCACCUGGACCUCUCGUCCAACAACUUCGGCGGCGGGCCCAUCCCGGAGUUCAUCGGUGGACUCGGGAGCCUGACACAUCUCCUCCUCGCCAACUCGUACUUCGGCGGCCGGAUCCCUCCCCACCUCGGAAACCUCUCCAACCUGCUCGUCCUUGACCUCUACGACUACCAUCAGUCCCACAGUUGUUACUCGCCUGAUCUCGCAUGGGUGUUGCGCCUGCGGAAGCUACGCCACCUCGCCAUGUCCGGGGUGGACCUAAGUGCCACCGUCGACUGGGCUCAUGCUGUCAACAUGCUCCCCUCCUUGGUACUCCUUGAACUAGUAUCUUGCGGGCUUCGGAACACUAUGCCGCUGCCGUUCCGCUCCAACCUCACAUCACUAGAGAUCCUCCAUCUCGAGUCCAACUCCUUUAACUCGUCCUUUGGAGCCAACUACUUGGCUUGGGACCUACCUGCUCUCCAACAUUUUUACAUGGAUAGCUGCGGAAUCAAGGGCUCUAUCCCUGACGCAGUGGGAAACUUGACCUCCAUUCAGUCACUGUCCCUUGGCAGAAAUAACUUCUUUGGCAUGGUGCCAUCGACCUUCAAGAAACUUGAAAAAUUGCGAUUCCUCAACUUAGGGGGCAACUUCAUUGGCGGGGACAUACAAGAUCUAUUGCACAGAUUGCCAACGGAUGAGUUACAACAGCUAUACUUGUACCAAAAUAAUUUGACAGGGAACCUUCCAGAUUGGCUAGAGCAAUUUAGCAGUUUGUCCAUACUUUGGCUCCAUAAUAACAAACUAUCCGGAGAGAUACCGAUCAGUAUAAGGGAACUCACAAGGUUAAAGGAGUUACGGCUGGAUUCAAACAACUUGCAUGGUAUCAUCACCGAAGAGCAUUUCAGGAAUCUUACUGGCCUACAGGUUCUAUGGAUCUCCAAUAACUCCUUAACUAUGCUGGUUGACAGCACGUGGAACUCUCCAUUCAAAUUAACUUCAGCGGGCUUUAGAUCUUGCAUCCUAGGCCCCUGGUUUCCAACAUGGAUUAGCCAACCAACACUCGACAUUCUUGAUAUUGCAAACACAAGUAUACAUGAUUUCAUUCCCGUUGAGUUUUGGAUGGCAAUGCACAAUGUGAAAGUUUUGGAGUUAUCGGAAAAUCGGUUUGUUGGCAAGCUUCCCACUUUUUCUAUAUUUGGUGCAUUGGAAGUUGUCGUGUUGGAUAUCGGUUCAAACCAGCUUGAUGGCCCGAUUCCGGCACUCCCAAAGAACCUAGUCUACCUGGACCUCUCUAGGAACAACCUAUCGGGUGCACUACCGUCAGAUAUUGGAGCGCCGAUGGUAGAAACACUCAUGCUCUUCCAAAAUUCUUUUUCCGGAACCAUUCCAUGCUCCCUGUUUGAGUUGCAGCAACUGAAGUUCCUCGACCUAUCAGAGAACCUACUGAACGGCACAUUGCCCAAUUGCCCUGAGAUACCCAAAAGGUCAAAUAUCAGCAUGCUUAACUUGAAUAGCAAUGAUAUUUCAGGAGAAUUCCCAUCAAUUCUCAAGAGGUGUAAAGAGCUAAAAUUCCUUGACCUGGCAUACAAUAAAUUUUCUGGGAGGUUACCAACAUGGAUCAGGUCAAAGUUACCAUACUUGGCAUUUCUGCGGUUGCGGUCAAACAUGUUUUUUGGUGGCAUCCCUUCCAAAAUUACCAAGAUGAAUCGGCUUCAGUACUUAGACAUUGCAAGCAACAACAUCUCAGGGAACAUACCAGUUUCACUUGGGAGCCUCGUAGCUAUGGCUCAUACUCCCAAUCAACAAGAUGGCCUUUCCCAAUAUGUCCAAAUUCAACUGCCUUCGUCGGGAACUGUUGGUGCUACUAAUGGUGAUAGCUUUUGGGUAGUCACAAAAGGUCAGCAGCUUGAGUACAAAACAGGAAUUAAUUACAUGGUAAACAUUGAUCUUUCCAGCAACAGUUUGACAGGGCAGAUUCCUCAGGAAAUCGGCAUGCUCGUUGCAUUGAAAAGCUUGAACUUGUCAUGGAAUCACCUUAGUAGCAUAAUGCCCCAAACUAUUGGUGAGCUUCGUGCAGUGGAAUCUCUGGAUCUCUCCCAUAUAUAA